rnacentral:rRNA from 1 species
GACAGGGGGCUCGAGCGUUAUUCGGAAUCACUGGGCUUAAAGGGUGCGUAGGCGGGCCAGUAAGCGUCUUGUGAAAUCCCCCGGCUCAACCGGGGAACUGCGGGGCGAACUGCUGGUCUUGAGGAAGCUAGAGGCCGGUAGAACGAUUGGUGGAGCGGUGGAAUGCGUAGAUAUCAAUCGGAAUGCCGAAAGUGAAGACAGCCGGCUGGGGCUUUCCUGACGCUGAGGCACGAAAGCGUGGGGAGCAAACGGG